ACAAUGAAGAGUUUGAUCCUGGCUCAGGAUGAACGCUAGCUACAGGCUUAACACAUGCAAGUCGAGGGGCAGCAUUUCAGUUUGCUUGCAAACUGGAGAUGGCGACCGGCGCACGGGUGAGUAACACGUAUCCAACCUGCCGAUAACUCGGGGAUAGCCUUUCGAAAGAAAGAUUAAUACCCGAUGGUAUAAUCAGACCGCAUGGUCUUGUUAUUAAAGAAUUUCGGUUAUCGAUGGGGAUGCGUUCCAUUAGGCAGUUGGUGAGGUAACGGCUCACCAAACCUUCGAUGGAUAGGGGUUCUGAGAGGAAGGUCCCCCACAUUGGAACUGAGACACGGUCCAAACUCCUACGGGAGGCAGCAGUGAGGAAUAUUGGUCAAUGGGCGCAGGCCUGAACCAGCCAAGUAGCGUGAAGGAUGACUGCCCUAUGGGUUGUAAACUUCUUUUAUAUGGGAAUAAAGUUUUCCACGUGUGGAAUUUUGUAUGUACCAUAUGAAUAAGGAUCGGCUAACUCCGUGCCAGCAGCCGCGGUAAUACGGAGGAUCCGAGCGUUAUCCGGAUUUAUUGGGUUUAAAGGGAGCGUAGGUGGACAGUUAAGUCAGUUGUGAAAGUUUGCGGCUCAACCGUAAAAUUGCAGUUGAUACUGGCUGUCUUGAGUACAGUAGAGGUGGGCGGAAUUCGUGGUGUAGCGGUGAAAUGCUUAGAUAUCACGAAGAACUCCGAUUGCGAAGGCAGCUCACUGGACUGCAACUGACACUGAUGCUCGAAAGUGUGGGUAUCAAACAGGAUUAGAUACCCUGGUAGUCCACACAGUAAACGAUGAAUACUCGCUGUUUGCGAUAUACAGUAAGCGGCCAAGCGAAAGCAUUAAGUAUUCCACCUGGGGAGUACGCCGGCAACGGUGAAACUCAAAGGAAUUGACGGGGCCCGCACAAGCGGAGGAACAUGUGGUUUAAUUCGAUGAUACGCGAGGAACCUUACCCGGGCUUAAAUUGCAUUUGAAUAUAUUGGAAACAGUAUAGCCGUAAGGCAAAUGUGAAGGUGCUGCAUGGUUGUCGUCAGCUCGUGCCGUGAGGUGUCGGCUUAAGUGCCAUAACGAGCGCAACCCUUAUCUUUAGUUACUAACAGGUCAUGCUGAGGACUCUAGAGAGACUGCCGUCGUAAGAUGUGAGGAAGGUGGGGAUGACGUCAAAUCAGCACGGCCCUUACGUCCGGGGCUACACACGUGUUACAAUGGGGGGUACAGAAGGCAGCUACCUGGUGACAGGAUGCUAAUCCCAAAAGCCUCUCUCAGUUCGGAUCGAAGUCUGCAACCCGACUUCGUGAAGCUGGAUUCGCUAGUAAUCGCGCAUCAGCCAUGGCGCGGUGAAUACGUUCCCGGGCCUUGUACACACCGCCCGUCAAGCCAUGAAAGCCGGGGGUACCUGAAGUACGUAACCGCAAGGAGCGUCCUAGGGUAAAACUGGUAAUUGGGGCUAAGUCGUAACAAGGUAGCCGUACCGGAAGGUGCGGCUGGAACACCUCCUUU
rnacentral:rRNA from 1 species